rnacentral:hammerhead_ribozyme from 1 species
AUCCAGCUGAUGAGUCCCAACCAAGACGAAACAUGCGUCCUGGAU